rnacentral:rRNA from 1 species
UAGCGUAUUCGUUUGACGUUAGCGACAGAAGAAAGCACCGGCUAACUCCGUGCCAGCAGCCGCGGUAAUACGGAGGGUGCGAGCGUUAAUCGGAAUUACUGGGCGUAAAGCGCAUGCAGGUGGUUUGUUAAGUCAGAUGUGAAAGACCCGGGGCUCAACCUACGGAAUAGCAUUUGUAAACUAGGCAGACUAGAGUACUGUAGAGGGGGGUAGGAAUUUCAGGUGUAGCGGUGAAAUAGCGUAGAGAUCUGAAGGAAUACCGGUGGCGAAGGCGGCCCCCUCGGACAGAUACUGACACUCAGAUGCGAAAGCGUGGGGAGCAAACAGGAUUAGAUACCCUGGUAG